rnacentral:rRNA from 1 species
GUAGGGUGCAAGCAUUAAUCGGAAUUACUGGGCGUAAAGCGUGCGCAGGCGGUGUUGUAAGACAGGUGUGAAAUCCCCGGGCUUAACCUGGGAACUGCAUUUGUGACUGCAUCGCUGGAGUGCGGCAGAGGGGGAGUGGAAUUCCGCGUGUAGCAGUGAAAUGCGUACGAUAUGCGGAGGAACACCGAUGGCGAAGGCAAUCCCCUGGGCCUGCACUGACGCUCAUGCACGAAAGCGUGGGGAGCAAACAGGAUUAGAUACCCUGGUAGUCCACGCCCUAAACGAUGUCAACUGGUUGUUGGGUCUUCACUGACUCAGUAACGAAGCUAACGCGUGAAGUUGACCGCCUGGGGAGUACGGCCGCAAGGUU